CGACUUUCGGGUGUCAGCGGCAGACGGGUGAGUAACGCGUGGGAACGUACCUUCUGGUUCGGAACAACCCUGGGAAACUAGGGCUAAUACCGGAUACGCCCUUAUGGGGAAAGGUUUACUGCCGGAAGAUCGGCCCGCGUCUGAUUAGCUAGUUGGUGGGGUAACGGCUCACCAAGGCGACGAUCAGUAGCUGGUCUGAGAGGAUGAUCAGCCACACUGGGACUGAGACACGGCCCAG
rnacentral:rRNA from 1 species